rnacentral:lncRNA from 1 species
AACUGGCCAUUUUCCUAUCUCUCUGGAACAUCAGAUGCAGUAUUCUGGAAACGGCAUGGACCAAGGGCAAAAGGGUAGAAGGAUUCAGCUAAGCACCAGUCUGAUGCACAUACUGUUCAAAGACUGAGAAUCGCCAGGCUUUCUCACGUGUGUGGACGUUCUUGAAACUGUGAAUACACAAGAGCAAAGAUGGAAGCUUGUUAUUAUUUAUCCAGCCAAAAAACAAGAGACCCAGAGUCAAGAGAUUUGUGGAAGACUGCAGGAAGACAAAUGGAAAGAGAACUUCUGGAUUAGUGCAAGAAAAAGAAGAGUUUUCUUAAUGAGAGGAAUUAUAUUGCUGUAAUACAACAAUAUAAACAAACAACAAAAAUCCCCAAACAUAAGACCCACUCAUCACUACCUUGGAGACUCAGAGCCAUGGGAUACAUGCUGAGGAAAGCUGCUAACAGAGAGUGGAACCAGCCCAGGAGAAAGCAGUUUGUUGUAGUCAACGAAGAUGAAAAAGGAGUGGAGAUCUGAAGACUGCUUUGACAUCAGCCAUGGAGAUACAGAGUUUGGAGUUAGCCCAGCUGUUUUCCUGCUCUCUGUUCAUGGCCCAAAGCCCACAUUGGAUCAAGGGUCUGAUAUACGUCCAUGAACAGAGAGCCUGGAUCGGUCCUGGCUGUGGAGGUCAAGGCUGACAUGUGAUGUUGCAGGGCUGAGACAGACUCCCUGCCCCUCAUAUCAACAGGGACCUACAGCAGGGGCUCCCAUUCUCUCCUUUACUACACACUAGUACUGCUGAUGUGGAGGGAGCUGAGAGCCUAACUAUGUCAGGAACCCAGUCCAUAGUAAAAUAGCAGGUCUAAACUCCUCUGCAGAUGAUACAUACCAGUGAUUCACAAUCUUUCUAACACUGCGACUGAUGAAAGUUCCAAGAGAAAAUCAUGAAGUCACAAGUGCAGGCAAACCAUCAGUGUUACAUAGCUUCCUGAACAGACACCCUAAAUCCAGGGAAACACGGAAUGAUAUAUUCCAAGCAUUCAAAGAAAAUAAUUGCCAAUGCACACAGGUGUACUAAGCAAAAUUGUUAUGAUUGAAGGAGAAAGGACUUCCUAUGAUAAAAGCAUAUGGAGAGAAUCAUGAACACUAACCCUACAGAAGGAUCCCUUGAGUCAAUUCUUUAGAUAGAAGAGAAAGAUGAACAUAUUCAUAAUGCUACGGGAAAGAAGAAAGCAUUUUAGAAGAGUAAUCAAAUGGAAGAGGAAUAGAAAGAGAGUAAACACAAAAUCAAUAGAAUGAUAGGAAUUAAUACAUAUCCUUCAACAGUAACUUUGAAUAAAUAUUAAAGGAUUAAAUUCUCCAAUUCAAACACACAGACUACGAGAUUAGAUAAGUGCAGCUCUUACUUCUCAUCAAAAAAACCUUUUUUUUUUUUUUUUUUUUUUUGGUUUUUCGAGACAGGGUUUCUCUGUGUAGCCCUGGCUGUCCUGGCACUCACUUUGUAGACCAGGCUGGCCUCAAACUCAGAAAUCUUCCUGCCUCUGCCUCCCGAGUGCUGGGAUUAAAGGCGUGCGCCACCACGCCCGGCCAAAAAAACCUUUUUUUGGCAGCAGACAGAGAUCAAAAUUCAGAGAACAACUAACUAAUCAUAUGCUGUCUAACCCCAAUGGUUGUUACAUCUGCAUCACAACUCCUGAACCUAAGGCUCAUAACAGAACAGAGAACAGGAAGAUUGUUAGAGGAAUUCUACUAAGAGAUUAUAUCUCCUAUAAACGACAGGGAAGCUUCACCCAUGAUACCUCAACAAUAUGGCUGCCUAAAGAACAUUUGACAAAGGAUGUGCUAACAUGGAAGGGAGAAAUCUCAUAGAGCUCCAACUCUAGACAGAAAACUACAGGCAACUAAUGAAUUCUGGGAGUGGGAAAAAUAGUCUUCCCUAGGGAUGAACCCCUAGUUGGCGAUCCAAUACCAAUUAGCAAGCUCUGAAAUCAUAUACAAACAAGUAACACUAAGUGGACUGAACAAAUUGUAUGUGUGUGUAACAGUCGCAACAAAAGAAAAAAUAAGGCUAUGAAUUUGAGAGAGUACAGGGGUCGGGGUGAGGCUGGGGGUAGGUGGGAUAAGAAAAGUGAAGGGGAUAAUGAUGUAAAUAUAUUUUAAUUGA